rnacentral:tRNA from 1 species
AGCUAGUUAGUAUAUAUGUUGUACAUCUAAUUUUGGUUUAGCAGGACGGCGAUAAAAACACCGAUUAGCUA